AAUGAACGCUGGCGGCAGGCCUAACACAUGCAAGUCGAGCGGAUGAACGGAGCUUGCUCCUGUAUUCAGCGGCGGACGGGCGAGUAAUGCCCAGGAAUCUGCCUGGUCGUGGGGGAUAACGUCCGGAAACGGGCGCUAAUACCGCACACGUUCAGAGGGUGAAAGUGGGGGAUCUUUGGACCUAACGCUAUCAGCUGAGCCUAGGUCGGAUUAGCUAGUUGGUGGGGUAAAGGCCUACCAAGACGACGAUCCGUAACUGGUCUGAGAGGAUGAUCAGUCACACUGGAACUGAGACACGGUCCAGACUCCUACGGGAGGCAGCAGUGGGGAAUCUUGCACAAUGGGCGAAAGCCUGAUCCAGCCAUGCCGCGUGAGUGAUGAAGGUCUUCGGAUUGUAAAGCACUUUAAGUUGGGAUGAAGAACAGUAUGAUUAUACCUUGCUGUUUUGACGUUACCAACAGAGUAAGCACCGGCUAACUUCGUG
rnacentral:rRNA from 1 species